UACGUAGGGCGCAAGCGUUGUCCGGAAUUAUUGGGCGUAAAGAGCUCGUAGGCGGCCUGUUGCGUCCGCUGUGAAAUCCCGGGGCUCAACCCCGGGCCUGCAGUGGAUACGGGCUGGCUAGAGGCGGGCAGGGGAGAACGGAAUUCCUGGUGUAGCGGUGAAAUGCGUAGAUAUUGGGAGGAACACCAGUGGCGAAGGCGGCUACCUGGACCGGUUCUGACGCUGAUGCGCGAAAGCGUGGGUAGCAAACAGG
rnacentral:rRNA from 1 species